GUGCUCACUUCAGCAGCACCUAAUGGUAAAAUUAGAACAAUACAGAGAUUAGCACCGGCUCCUGUGAGAGGAUAAAAUGCAAAUUCAUGAAAUGUUGCAUAUUUAA
ensembl:snRNA U6 U6 spliceosomal RNA